rfam:Orientia tsutsugamushi Boryong complete genome
CAGUGUGAGGCAAACCUACUAGAUAAAGAGUUAGAAAUCUAUAGCUAGGAUAGGCAGCAUAAAGAGAAAUUGAGAUGUUGAAACCUAUCAACAAACUUAUCGAAAAGAUAAGAGCGAAUUAUCAUGCCGCAGUGAAA